rnacentral:rRNA from 1 species
GAUGAACGCUGGCGGCGUGCUUAACACAUGCAAGUCGAGCGAAGCGAUUUUGAGGAAGUUUUCGGAUGGAAUUAAGAUUGACUGAGCGGCGGACGGGUGAGUAACGCGUGGGUAACCUGCCUUAUACAGGGGGAUAACAGUUAGAAAUGACUGCUAAUACCGCAUAAGCGCACAGGACCGCAUGGUCCGGUGUGAAAAACUCCGGUGGUAUGAGAUGGACCCGCGUCUGAUUAGGUAGUUGGUGGGGUAACGCCCACAAGCCGACGAUCAGUAGCCGACCUGAGAGGUGACCGGCACAUUGGGACUGAGACACGGCCCAAACUCCUACGGGAGCAGCAGGUGGGAAUAUUGCACAAUGGGCAAAGCCUGGACUGCAGCAACGCCGCGUGAGUGAAGAAGU